rnacentral:lncRNA from 1 species
CCCCGCCCCGCCCCGCGACGCCCGAGGACCCGACGGAGCUACACCCGCUAGUUCAGCCAGGAGGCCCUGCGCGGCUCCGGGGAGAGCUGGGUGGUUAUGCCACCUCAUUAGACACAUUGGUGGACGAUGCCGCGGAUUAGCGGGAUGGUUUGUGUACAAACGAAGCCGUGUCACUUCUCAAGUGUCGGUGCUCAACGUGGCAACGCCCCUCCCGCCCCCAGUACAGAGAUCCUGCCCAUCCACCGACAAUCCCCCUCCUCAUCUUCCUUCCCCCAGGUGCGAGUGAUUCAAGGAAAUCCGACUGGAGGGAACACACGCUGCGAUGCACCCUCUCCUCUUCCAUUGAGCCAGGGGUGACCUUGAGAGACUCAGGCCACCUCACCAGGCUCUACCAGGAACAGCGUCUACAGCUGGUAGAGAGCACGGGCUGCAGAGAGGUAAAGAUGGGGUUCGGAAGCCAAGGCUCCCCUUGUUGCAUGGGUGACAUCAGGCAAGCUACUCAACCUCUAACCCUGGCUUCCCCUUCUGUAUACUGGAGACAGUAUCGGCCCCACAGGCACUUGUGGAGCAAGUGGGUUUGAGCUGAGCUCCUCUGAAAAUCAGAGGCACACUCAGAGAGUAGCUCAGAAAACCAGGAUGUGUCAGUUUCAUUUGCUGGGAAGCAGAAGCCAAGAUAGAAUUAGAAGUGCAAUGUCUGUGAAGGAAGAAUAAAGGGAAAAGGAAACAGGAGUGGGGCAGGGGGCAGACCAAAAGGAAGACAGACAAGUGUGAGAAGGAGCCCCACAGUGCAGUGUAAGCUUAAGAAGGUGUGGAGAGGAUGGGAGUCACUCACUGGGCAGGAAUGGCCCAGCUCCAGCACCUUGCUAUGACCAGCCAGCUGCUGGGAACAGGCCAGGAAGAGUGUGGCCUUAGCGCAAACACUGGGGUGGAUCUCGAGAUGAAGGUGUGGCCGCUGGAAGCUGUCACUUCACCACUCCUCUUCUGAAGAGAGAGCUGAGCCCUGCACAUGGGAGCAUUGGUGAAAAGGGUGGUAGACGUUUAUCAGUAACCUUACUGGUUUUGUGCUCCAUCCUCCAUCUCCCAAAGUCCCCCUGACCUUGCCUUCAGCUCCAGGAAUGGCCACAUGACUCAGACAAAGCCAACCAGCCAUCCCAUUUCAGUGGCCAGUGAUGAAUGAUUCAGUGUUUACCCAAACGCAUCCAAUCAGGGUGAAUCUGAGGACAUUUGCUGGGGAGGCUGGGACACAGAUAAUCUCUUUUCUGACAGAUGGUAACAAGAAAGUAGGUAGCUGCAGGGGCUGCUGGCAGCCAUCUUGAGACAUGAAAGGUGUCCAAAUUGGGAUGAAUUCAGCACUGAAGAUGGUGGUACAGAGAAACAGGAGAUAGGGCCUUUGAUCACAUUGUUGGAUGGCUGGUUAAGCCUCUCCUGAAAUCCAUUCUACUGCUGGACUUUACAGUUCAUAAACUAAUAAAUCCUCUUUACUGUUUGAA